UCAGCGGAGGGGCACGGGAACCCCCUGAUGGGUCUGGGCGCAGCCACAGGGCUAUUCCCCAGCUCAGCACUGAGUGACUGACUCAGAGCAGCUCAGCAACUGGGUAUCUGGAGAAGGGAGUGGUUAGGCUCUCCCAGGGCGGAAGGGAGAAUCCCGCCAGAGGCGAAUAGCUGUUGCCGGUUAUGUUAAUCUGUAGGGCGAGCACUACUAGAUAAUAUUUAUACCGGCUCAAAGGGAUUUUCAAAUGGCUUUUUAAGUCUCUUGGCCUCCUAGGAGGGUUUACAGUUUGGUUCAAUGGCUCUCAGGACCCCCACUGUACACAUUGUUCCAGCACCCUUGGUCUCGCUCUACACAAAGUGGCAGGAGGAGGAGGAUCAUCCUUAUAACUUUUAUCUCAGUGAUUAGGGUACUCAUAUGCAAUGUGGGAAACCCUCAGUUCAGAUCCCGCUGAUGAGAAUGGAUCUCCCUCCUCUCAGGUCAGUGGCAGAGUCAGGAAGUGAACCUGGAUCUGAGUCCCAGUCUAAAGCCUUCACUGCAAAACCAUCAUUCUUCUCUUGAGGCCAUUAUUUAUUACUGUUGAUGCAACAUGGACAGAAUAGGGAAACUAAGGCAAAAGGAGGUGAAAUGGCUUGACCAUGGUCACCCAACAAACCAGUGGCAGAGGUGUUCUGAAGCCCAGCUCCAUGUGCGAGCCAUGCUGCCUCCCAUGUCACACUUUCUGAGGGAGAUUCAAAUUUGCCUCACUGGCUGGGUCUACAUUGCCAGCAGUGGGGAGAAAAAUUUGGAGGAUGACUAAUACGUUUGAUCCCCUUCACCUAUCUGUGUGAACAAGCUGGGGUGAAAAAAGUAAAUAUACCGCCCAUGGCAACCGGGAUUGCUGGACUAAAUCAGGUAACUCCCCCCAUCCCUCCCAGAAAGGCUGAAUCCAAAUACAAAGUUAUUGACAUAAAAAUAUAAGCCUGUUUCCUCAGAUAUGAGAUUCCAGUGCAAGCAAGAGUUAGGUGAUGUGGUGAUAACAGACAGCAAGUUUGACAUACAUUCA